UUCAACAGACCUUGAUGAAUCAUUCGGACAAGCUUAUCGUCAUCUACAACCAGCGCUGUUAAUUUCUCUGCAGAAUUUUCAGGUUCCAUCAGCCCUUUCCCUUUCUCUUGAUUUCCCAUUUUGUACAAAGCUCCUUAAAUGAGAUUGAUAGUUUCUUUUCUUGAUCUUCUCCAGAAUCUGAGACAAAAAGAUUGAAAUAUGAAUGAAUGAAUGAAUGGCUAGUUGUAAAUUACAA
rnacentral:lncRNA from 1 species